ACUGCUCAGUAACACGUGGAUAACCUGCCCUUGGGUCCGGCAUAACCCCGGGAAACUGGGGAUAAUUCCGGAUAACGCACAUAUGCUGGAAUGCUUUAUGCGUAAAAUGGAUUCGUCUGCCCAAGGAUGGGUCUGCGGCCUAUCAGGUAGUAGUGGGUGUAAUGUACCUACUAGCCGACGACGGGUACGGGUUGUGAGAGCAAGAGCCCGGAGAUGGAUUCUGAGACAUGAAUCCAGGCCCUACGGGGCGCAGCAGGCGCGAAAACUUUACAAUGCGGGAAACCGUGAUAAGGGGACACCGAGUGCCAGCAUCAUAUGCUGGCUGUCCAGAUGUGUAAAAUACAUCUGUUAGCAAGGGCCGGGCAAGACCGGUGCCAGCCGCCGCGGUAACACCGGCGGCCCGAGUGGUGAUCGUGAUUAUUGGGUCUAAAGGGUCCGUAGCCGGUUUGGUCAGUCCUCCGGGAAAUCUGAUAGCUCAACUAUUAGGCUUUCGGGGGAUACUGCCAGACUUGGAACCGGGAGAGGUAAGAGGUACUACAGGGGUAGGAGUGAAAUCUUGUAAUCCCUGUGGGACCACCUGUGGCGAAGGCGUCUUACCAGAACGGGUUCGACGGUGAGGGACGAAAGCUGGGGGCACGAACCGGAUUAGAUACCCGGGUAGUCCCAGCUGUAAACGAUGCGCGUUAGGUGUAUCGGUGACCACGAGUCACCGAGGUGCCGAAGAGAAAUCGUGAAACGCGCCGCCUGGGAAGUACGGUCGCAAGGCUGAAACUUAAAGGAAUUGGCGGGGGAGCAC
rnacentral:rRNA from 1 species